rnacentral:rRNA from 1 species
CUACGGGGGGCAGCAGUGAGGAAUAUUGCACAAUGGGGGAAACCCUGAUGCAGCAACGCCGCGUGGAGGAUGACGCAUUUCGGUGUGUAAACUCCUUUUAUCAGAGAAGAAAAUGACGGUAUCUGAUGAAUAAGCUCCGGCUAAGUCCGUGCCAGCAGCCGCGGUAAUACGGAGGGAGCAAGCGUUAUUCGGAAUCACUGGGCGUAAAGGACGCGUAGGCGGGUUUGUAAGUCAGGUGUGAAAUCCUAUGGCUCAACCAUAGAACUGCACUUGAAACUGGGGACCUAGAGUAUGGAAGGGGCAGGUGGAAUUAGUGGUGUAGGGGUAAAAUCCGUAGAUAUCACUAGGAAUACCGAAAGCGAAGGCGACCUGCUGGGACAUUACUGACGCUGAGGCGUGAAAGCGUGGGGAGCAAACAGGAUUAGAUACCCCCGUAGUC